AGGACAGGCUUGUUCCCAAGGUUCAUACUUAACAAACUCCAAGGGCAAAGGGAGCUUUUAUUCCUUAUACAUGGACUCACAGCUCCAGACACAUCCCCUAUUAACAUGCCUCAACCUUGACCUAGAGGGACCAUCUCUAGAGAGAGAGAAAACUGAGUUCAGUCUUCAUGACCCAUUCAGUCCUUGGCCUCU
rnacentral:sRNA from 1 species